GCCAAGGCUGUGUCAUCACUGCCAAAUGCUCCUUCAGGCCACUAAAUCACCACAGUAAGAUCAGAGCUUCAGGACCUAAGUAGUGCCUGGGGAUCUGAAAGAGACGACUGACUGAGGUGGUUGAUGGGAUUCUUACAGCCCUUGUCAGGCUCCAAUUUGCAAAGCUCCAGAGUGGAUCCCCAAGUUCUCUAUCAGGAAAUUGUGCAGGAGACUGGGGGAAAGGUGAGGAGGCAGCUAUCAAAUAUUUUCUAGUUCUUUGUUGGAGGCCCUGGCCAGGGGGCAUACUUGAGAAUGAGGAUAAACGAAAAGAGCGCCUCUUACCCGUGAUAAUGGUGGCUGGAAUCAGAGACCAGGCAUGGACAAGAAGCCAGUAGAGAGUGCUGGAGAGUGAGAACCAUGGACACCUGAGUAAAC